rnacentral:misc_RNA from 1 species
GAUAAACGCUGGCGGCGCACAUAAGACAUGCAAGUCGAACGAACUUAAUACCUUGCUUGCAAGGUAAGCGGUUAGUGGCGGACUGGUGAGUAACACGUAAGAAAUCUGCCUAUCAGAGGGGAAUAACAGUGAGAAAUCAUUGCUAAUACCGCAUAUGCCAUAGGAAUCGCAUGAUUCUAGUGGGAAAGGAGUAAUCCGCUGAUAGAUGAGCUUGCGUCUGAUUAGCUAGUUGGUGGGGUAAAGGCCUACCAAGGCGACGAUCAGUAGCCGGACUGAGAGGUUGAACGGCCACAUUGGGACUGAGAUACGGCCCAGACUCCUACGGGAGGCAGCAGUCGGGAAUAUUGCGCAAUGGAGGAAACUCUGACGCAGUGACGCCGCGUAUAGGAAGAAGGUUUUCGGAUUGUAAACUAUUGUCCACAGGGAAGAUAAAAGACUGUACCUGUGAAGAAAGCUCCGGCUAACUACGUGCCAGCAGCCGCGGUAAUACGUAGGGAGCAAGCGUUAUCCGGAAUUAUUGGGUGUAAAGGGUGCGUAGACGGGAUAACAAGUUGGUUGUGAAACCCCUCGGCUCAACUGAGGAACUGCAACCAAAACUAUUAUUCUUGAGUGCAGGAGAGGAAAGUGGAAUUCCUAGUGUAGCGGUGAAAUGCGUAGAUAUUAGGAAGAACACCGGUGGCGAAGGCGACUUUCUGGACUGUAACUGACGUUGAGGCACGAAAGUGUGGGGAGCAAACAGGAUUAGAUACCCUGGUAGUCCACACUGUAAACGAUGGAUACUAGGUGUAGGGGGUAUUAAGCCUUCUGUGCCGUCGCAAACGCAGUAAGUAUCCCACCUGGGGAGUACGACCGCAAGGUUGAAACUCAAAGGAAUUGACGGGGGCCCGCACAAGCAGUGGAGUAUGUGGUUUAAUUCGAAGCAACGCGAAGAACCUUACCAGGGCUUGACAUAUAAGUGAAUGGCUAAGAGAUUAGUCAGUAUUUCGGUACACUUAUACAGGUGGUGCAUGGUUGUCGUCAGCUCGUGUCGUGAGAUGUUAGGUUAAGUCCUGCAACGAGCGCAACCCCUAUACUUAGUUGCCAGCACGUAAAGGUGGGAACUCUAGGUAGACUGCCGGUGACAAAUCGGAGGAAGGUGGGGACGACGUCAAAUCAUCAUGCCCUUUAUGUCCUGGGCUACACACGUACUACAAUGGCUAUAACAAAGAGAAGCGAAACGGAGACGUUAAGCGAAACCCAAAAAAGUAGUCUCAGUUCGGAUUGAAGGCUGAAAUUCGCCUUCAUGAAGCCGGAAUUGCUAGUAAUGGCAGGUCAGCAUACUGCCGUGAAUACGUUCCCGGGCCUUGUACACACCGCCCGUCACACCAUGAGAGUUGGGAAUACCCGAAGCCUGUGAGCUAACGUAAGAGGCAGCAGUCGAAGGUAGAAUCAAUGAUUGGGGUGAAGUCGUAACAAGGUAGCCGUAUCGGAAGGUGCGGCUGGAUCACCUCCUUUCUAAGGAGAAAGAAUUUGCUAAAGUUAUUAAAGGAUUUUUGUUUGUUUACUUUUCAAUGUACUUUUUAGUACAUUGAAAACAGAGUGGGUAUUACAAAAGAGGAAUACAUCAAACAACUCUAAUAGUUGGGCUCAUAGCUCAGAUGGUUAGAGCGCACGCCUGAUAAGCGUGAGGUCGAUGGUUCGAUUCCAUUUGAGCCCACCAAGUACAUUGAAAAUUGCAUAGAUGAAAUAGAGGUAAAUUAGUAUAAAACUAAUUACUAACAAUUGAACCAAAAAAUAAAACCGUUUAGAUUAACAAGUAUAGCGAAGUAGAAACGAGUAAUGCAAGGAAGACGAAUAAAAAAUGAGGAGAUAGUACGUGUGUACAUCGACGAAAUUUUUUAAGAAGUCUGACAAAGCAGGACGAAGUUUAUACAUAGCUAGAAGGUUAAGCUACUAAGAGCGUAGGGAGAAUGCCUAGGCACCAAGAGCCGAAGAAGGACGUGAUAAGCUGCGAAAAGCUAUGGUAAGGAGCAAAUAUCCAACGACCCAUAGAUAUCCGAAUGAGGAAACUCAAGCAGGGAAAAAAGCCUGCUUAUCCAUAUAUAAGUAAAGUAGUAUAUGGAGGGGAACGUGGGGAACUGAAACAUCUCAGUACCCAUAGGAAAAGAAAGAAAACUCGAUUCCUAGAGUAGUGGCGAGCGAAAUAGGAAGAGCCCAAACCAAGUGUACUUGUACAUUUGGGGUAAUGGACUACAUAAUUCAUCUAUAAAUCUAACAGAACUGUGUGGGAAAGCAGACCAUAGAAGGUGAGAGUCCUGUAAGUGAAAGAUAAGUAGAGAAGGUAGUAUCCGGAGUAAUACGAGGCACGUGGAAUCUCGUAUGAAAAUGUGGGGACCACCCCAUAAGGCUAAAUACUACUUGGUGACCGAUAGAGAUA